rnacentral:lncRNA from 1 species
GGCUGCCGUGGAAACCUGUGACAGGAGCUAAUGCAGAUCUGCUGCAGGAUCCUGCUACCUGAGGGGUCUUCACCUGAGCACCAUGGUGAUUACAGGCGAGUUCAGAACAUCUAACAGAAUUCUGCAGCUCGCUCAGCACAAGGAAUCCAAAUCUAUAUGGGUCACCACUCCCGGUAGGAAGCUGACGUGGGGGAACCAGGAGUCAAUAUGGCUGCUCUCCUUGGGGGCGUUAGGAGCCGUUCCCUCUCCGAGGAUUCAGACUUUAGCCCAAAAUAAACCAGAUUUCUCCAACCUGAACCAGAACCUGCACCUGAACCUGUUCAGUCCUCUUUCAGACUGGUGUGAGUACAGCUGUCCUGUGUGGCACAUCAGCCCCGGGGUGCAGAAAACCCUCGUAUCUCCCCGUAUCGUCCAACUGGCCCGCCCCAAAACCACACACCCCGACUUCAGGGUCAACCGCCAGGCAGUAGAAACACACAUCACCCACGCAGCUAAAACAGCUCGGAUCACCUCCAGACUGGAGCAGUUGUGUUUACCCAAACUCAGAGAGAGCAGCCUGUUCUACCCUCCCAGCCGCCCCGAGAGCCCCAUCCGGCCUGUGUCGAGAGGAGCGAGCAGGGCGACAGCUAGCGCUCGUGUGAGACAGCUGUCCACCCCCAAGUCCCUCUGUAAGGACUACAUCCCCCCACGGGACCUGGACUGAGCAUAAAAUCUACAUUGAUCAGCCAGAACAUUAAAACCACCUGCCUAACAUUGUGUACUGUAGAUAUCCUUCAUCCCACCAUAUUUAUCAACAAACCUUUAGAGGAAUCACUGCAAUAUGACUUCAAAUAAGUUUGUCUCUAUUAUUUUUUUACUCUUAUUUCAUCAAACAAAUGCUUUUUUAUGCCAUAUGCAUAUCCCCAGUGUAUAUUUAUAGAGAAAGAGAAAAUGGAG